rnacentral:rRNA from 1 species
GACGAACGCUGGCGGCGUGCUUAACACAUGCAAGUCGAACGGAAAGGCCUGCUUUCCCUUGUGGAUUGCGGGUACUCGAGUGGCGAACGGGUGAGUAACACGUGAGUGAUCUGCCCCCAACUUGGGUAUAAGCCUGGGAAACUGGGUCUAAUUCCCGAUAGGACUGCAGGGUGGUGCCUGUGGUGGAAAACGAUUUUCUAGUGGUUGGGGAUGAGCUCGCGGCCUGUCAGCUUGUUGGUGGGGUAAUGGCCUACCAAGGCGGCGACGGGUAGCCGGCCUGGGAGGGUGGACGGCCACAUUGGGACUGAGAUACGGCCCAGACUCCUACGGGAGGCAGCAGUGGGGAAUAUUGCACAAUGGGCGGAAGCCUGAUGCAGCGACGCCGCGUGGGGGAUGCCGGCCUUCGGGUUGUAAACUCCUUUCGACCGCGAGGAAGCCACCUGGUUGGAAGGGUGGUGACGGUAGUGGUAGAAGAAGCACCGGCUAACUACGUG